UGGAAACACAACCCAAGUCAAAUGGGUCGGGAAAGAAAGAAAAUUGAAAGCUCUCGCUGAUUAGGCCAUUGGCUAUGUGGAAAACUCCACAGCUCCUUUAUCUUGGUAAAGACAGCCACCUGGUUUCCAUGUAUCUAAGGCAUCUAAGGCAGCACCAAACAAGAGGGACACACCAGGCCUUCUAAAAGUACUUAACUGAAGUUGCCAGCAGCUUCCAGGGAAAAGAAGACCAGAUUCAAAAGAACCAAUAAUCUCCCAAGGAAGAUUUAUUGAGUUAUAGGUGCCAAGUUCACUACUGACAUGGAAGAAACAGCAUUUUAACAGAGACAAUAAGAGUUAAGGUUAAGUUGGGAUUAACCUUAAUAAAAAGGAUAUUAUCAGA